AUUGAACGCUGGCGGCAGGCUUAACACAUGCAAGUCGAGCGAGCGGCGGACGGGCGAGUAAUGUCUGGGAAACUGCCUGAUGGAGGGGGAUAACUACUGGAAACGGUAGCUAAUACCGCAUACCAUCAGAUGUGCCCAGAUGGGAUUAGCGAGUAGGUGGGGUAAUGGCUCACCUAGGCGACGAUCCCUAGCUGGUCUGAGAGGAUGACCAGCGACACUGGAACUGAAGCACGGUCCAGACUCCUACGGGAGGCAGGAGUGGAGAAUAUUGCACAAUGGGCGCAAGCCGAGUGCAGCCAUGCCGCGUAUGGGAAGAAGGCCUUCGGGUUGUAAAGCACUUUCGGCGAGGAGGCGUUACUCACAGAAGAAGCACCGGCUAACUCCGUGCCAGCAGCCGCGGUAAUUC
rnacentral:rRNA from 1 species